rnacentral:lncRNA from 1 species
AAAAAUCCCAAACCCCACAAAAACGUAAUUCAAUAUCCCCAAUUCCAGAAGACAUUCAAUCUUUUUCCACUGGAGGUUUCUCCUCUUUAGAAUUUGUUGUUAUAACAUGCAAUCCAAAUUCUACAUCUGCGACCAUAUUUGUUGAUGGGGGUCCCAUAAAUUGAUUGUUGUUUCUAAGUCGAAUAAUCGAUCGGAACCAGAGGUCUCGUCUUCUUUUCCUUGUGCACAUCUCACUCUCAUCUUUGUAUAACAAUUUAAUUUUAUGAAAGAGGUAAGAUCCUAUAGCAAUCAAUGAUUUAAUUAUCUCGGCCUUUGGGCUUUAUGUUUAAUAUUUUUCAUUUGUAUUUUAUGAAUUAAGCGGUCCCAAUUGCUUCAGUUGUUGUUAAGUUUCAAGGUUUUUCUGGAUAAUGAAAGUUUCAAUUGCCGUUAAAUGUUGCAUAUGUAUUAUGUUGUGUUGUAGUGCAAGUUUGCUGUUAGAGAUGCUUUCGUUCA